rnacentral:rRNA from 1 species
CCUACGGGAGGCAGCAGUGGGGAAUAUUGCACAAUGGGCGCAAGCCUGAUGCCGAAACGCCGCGUGAGCGAUGAAGGCCUUAGGGUCGUAAACCUCUGUCCUAAGGGAAGAAUAAUGACGGUACCUUAGGAGGAAGCACCGGCUAACUACGUGCCAGCAGCCGCGGUAAUACGUAGGGGGCGAGCGUUAUCCGGAAUCACUGGGCGUAAAGGGUGCGUAGGCGGCCCUGCAAGUCAGGAGUUUAAUCCCUCGGCUCAACCGAGGUCAGCUGUUGGAACUGUACGGCGUGAGUGCAGGGGGGGAGGGCGGAAUUUUUUGUGGGGAGGUGGAAUUCGUUGGAAAUACGAGGACCCCCGGGUGCGAAGGCGGCUCCCUGGACCUUAACCUACGCUUAGGUACGAAAGCGUUGGGAGCGAACAGGAUUAGAUACCGCAGUAGUC